rnacentral:ncRNA from 2 species
UUCCGCAAUGGGCGCAAGCCUGACGGAG